rnacentral:lncRNA from 1 species
CCGGAAUGGGGGAGGGCUGCGUGGAGGCAGGGGACUGGCCCUGAAGGCCAGAGAUGAUCUCCUGGGCUACAGAUCCCAGGCCCCUGGGGUGGGAUGGUGUGUGUGUUGGGGGCACCUGAGUUGCCCACCUCAGGGGAACUUGGGGGUCCUCCAGGGCCCCAACUGCGAAGCCCCUAUUGCUGUUUUUCCUAAGCCCCCAGGCCUAAAAGCUAGAGUCCCAGGGAGAAUAAAACAGCCUGAGCAAAAAGGCUCCAAGGCAGUUCAAAGACAGAGAGAGACUGAGGAUGAAGUUUUCAAGCCACAUCCAAGGGGAGGGCUUUUCAUCUGCCAGCCUUUGAAUCGGGAAUCAAGGCGGGCAAAGUUACUACCAGGUUAAAGUUUAAAUGGCACAGAAAGGGGAGACAGGAAGAUGAAACGACGGCCGUCUGGCCAGGGGAACAAAGCCGGAGCCCAGCCUGGCCACCUGGCCGCAGAGGCGCUGAGUGGUAGCAGUCCCAGCCAGGAGGGGCUGCGACGCUGCCAUUGUUCAGCUGAAGAACGAAAGUAAUUGAAAGGAAAGAAUCGCCCCGGAGCACUGCUGCUUGACUACCUACCAGCUGUGAUUUCUGGGGUCUUGAAG